GGGGGUGUGAUGACCCUGAGCCUUGGCGGAGAUCGUGAGGCGGAAGGCACCCAAUGAGAGGAAGAUGGACUAACACCUCUAGCUUUCACCCUUCUCUAGGCCUCUCUUAUAAAGGCCCACCUCUCCUUGACCCUGGCCUUCACCACCUGCAAAGAAGGAUGCAAAAGGGGACUCGACGGUGAUGCCAUUACGAUAGAAGGGAGAAAUUUCUGUGGAGGAGGGAGAUAAGAGAUUGGAUUUCUCUACUUGUUGGCCUCUAUUUAUAAGCACCCAAGUCCUAUACCAACUACCAAUCGAUGGCUUGAAGGGAUACAGCUAUCCAUCAACUAAUAAAUGAUGUAUCUUCCCACCAUCAAGAAUAAAUCCCAAUGACGCUUCAAAAAUUAGAACAUAGCUACGUGGCAUAUGCCUACUGGCCCCACAUCUUUCCUUAGGCAUUAUCUUAGGAGAAGAGUCAACAGCCAUCAUUCCCACGACUGCUGGCAUUGAAAAGGAUAGAACAAAAGCACCGCUAGAUAUUUGUCUAAGAUCGGAGUACUCAAAUAAUUGUCCUAGAUCGAUAGGCAUGGGAAGUUACCUC
rnacentral:lncRNA from 1 species